ACGUAGGAGGCGAGCGUUAUCCGGAAUUACUGGGUGUAAAGGGCGAGCAGGCGGUUGGAUAAGUUGGGUGUGAAAGCUCCCGGCUCAACUGGGAGAGGUUGCUCAAGACUGUUCGACUAGAGCGUGGUAGGGGAAGGCGGAAUUCCGGGUGUAGUGGUGAAAUGCGUAGAUAUCCGGAGGAACACCAGAGGCGAAAGCGGCCUUCUAGGCCACGGCUGACGCUCAGACGCGAAAGCUAGGGGAGCAAACGG
rnacentral:rRNA from 1 species